CAGCACCUCAAGUGGUCAGGAUGAUUAUUGGGCCUAAAGCAUCCGUAGCCGGCGCUGUAAGUUUUCGGUUAAAUCUGUACGCUCAACGUACAGGCUGCCGGGAAUACUGCAGCGCUAGGGAGUGGGAGAGGUAGACGGUACUCGGUAGGAAGGGGUAAAAUCCUUUGAUCUAUUGACGACCACCUGUGGCGAAGGCGGUCUACCAGAACACGUCCGACGGUGAGGGAUGAAAGCUGGGGGAGCAAACCGGAUUAGAUACCCGCGUAGUCC
rnacentral:rRNA from 1 species